UGUGCUCUCUCUCUCUCAAAGUAAAUGAAUAAAAAACUUAAAAAAUAUAUAAAUAGGUUUUGGUUAAUAGUUUGUUUCUUUAACAUAAGCCAGCAGUAAUUCUAGUUGGUUCUUUCAGAGUCUGCGAACAAGUGAUUAUGAUCUCCUGCAUUGAUCUACAUCUCCAGAACAGUUUCUGCCGCUACACCCUUUUGUCAUUUGGCACCUUUCUGCCGGGUUCCUCCCCCUGUGGUUUUACAGGAUCCCUGAGCAAGGAAGCAGUCAGGGAUUGUGGGUCCGGCCUCUCGUCUGCGUCCUUACAGUCUCCUCUUUCCGCCACCUGAUUUCCUUUUGGUCAUCUUAGGGCUCCACAGAAACAACAAGCAGGCCUUUCUCACACAUGGGCUGGGAUCUCCCCGCCUCCCCCCUCCCCCCCCCCCAUCUCACCACUUUUAUCUUCUGCUUUAGAAGCAAACUAACAAAUACAUACCUGUGAAAUGGUGAUAAAAAUUAUUGAGGAUGAACUAAAAUUAGCACAGGGCUGAGGGCUGAGAGAGGUAUGCCAUAGCUCAGGUUACAUUUUCACACGAAUAAUCUGCAGUUAGAAAAUACCAGCUAUAUUCUGAAGGAGAGGUUUGGCCAUGUGUGUAACAUGGGACCCAUCUGCUUGACAGGGUAGGGGUUGGCUCCAAUGAAGGGCUCUCUAGGGCUGAUUGUUGAUAGAAGCCAGUAGUGCUGGUGCCUGAAGCAAUCAGUUGGCCAUCCACUUUCCCUCUUGAUAAACGUGGCAUGCUUUCCCAGCCUUCCCAGCCAUACCACAGUUACCUAUGGCUUAGCUUCUUUGCAAAAAAAGGAGGAGAUGGAAAAUGUUGAGUGACUUCGGUUCUUUCACACCCUCACCUCAUGCUGAAGCUGGGAGCUUACCUAUAGCAAUGGUCCUUUUUGGGGACCAUUCUUCCCCAUGGGGAGGGGAUGAGUGAAGAAAAGGGAGAAGCAAAAGACAACCUUAUGUGUUUGGUCAAGUGGGAAUUUCAGAUUGAAUCUGUUAGCCAAGGAGGCCCCAGAAAAGACUGGGAUGUUGCUGGGAUUUAAUUAUCCUAUACCACGGAGGGCAGAUUCUUAUUUUCGACACAGAGUGAAACAGUCUUAAAUGCCGAUGUCUCAGUCUCUGCCCCUGGUACUUCAAAGGGAAUAGAAGGGAGAGGGGAAGGAGACAGGACAAUAACACUCUGCUGUGUACUCGGAUUGUGGUCCACUGACCAGCAGCAUCAGCUUCACCAGAGAGCCUUCUAGAAAUGCCGACUUUCAAGCCCCAACCCAGAGGUACCAAGUCAGAACCUGCAUUUUGCAGGGUACCUGCGGUUCCUGGGGACCUUGAAGUUUUGGAAAAAAACACGGCUUUAGGAGGCAGCGACCGUAGUCGAUUGACAGACCAUGAGCAAUGUACCUGUCUUAUGGUACAGUAUCAUACAGUAUCAACUAUGGGUAUUGAAUGCUGACAAUCAAAGUUUAAUUUUGUUUGCAGCUAGAGACCAGGCCCACUGAUCCUGUUUGACUAAACAGCAGCAUUCUGUUUAGGGAAAGACAGGGGUUUGUUUAGGACACAGAUGACCGCCCCUGGCUUGCUGAUAGCAAGUGAAGAGUUGCUUCCUUGCCCUGGGGCAGAAUGGUUUCCGCGACAACAGUGAAGCCACGCUCUCCUCCCCCCACCCCCUCCCCCCACAUUAACCGUAGAGCAGAGAAUAAAAAGAGCACUUAAUUUUUUUUUUUUUCCACAUCACGUUAUUAUCAUGGGUUUCUCAGGGAGAAAAUUUGCAAGAAAGAAAAUCUGCACAUUCUUUAGUGAUGUGCCAAGCGUUUUUUUUUUUUCUGGUUUGAACUCAAACUGAUACACCUGACAAACGUCAGGGUUAGAUUAUAUUGAUCUAAGUCUGAUUUUAAAACUAUAUCUGUUUGUAAUUCUUCCACACUGUGAUGCAAAGAUUUUUUUGUGUGUUGGUUUUUUCCACUCUCUGUGAUGAUCAUAUGUUACUUCUCUAUAGAUAACAAUCCACUAAGUUUUCUUUUAUAAAAGUAAGAAUUAAGACCAAAAAAACCCCAAAACCCUGUUAUCGAUAAAAGGAUUAAGACUACUAGAAUCAGUCAAGUUAAGGGAGUUAGGGUUAAUCCCAGGGCAUUUCCUUCAAGUGCCAUGAAGGACCCAUCAGCUUGUUAGAAGCCCGUCCACGGCUGUACUCUAGUUGUAGCAGCUGUACUGUCUGGCCUGGGUUAUUUCGGUAGCCCACUAACUGGUCUUGCUCUCUCUUCAGUCUGUUCUCAGCCCAGCCAGAGCAUAUUUGCCUCUGCCCAAAACAGUUGGCUUCCAGGGCUCUCAGAAGAAAACCCAAAGGCCUCAUAGUAUCCUAAGAGGCCCAUCGCUUACCUUUCUGACCCCAUAUCCUAUUACCAUCUCCCUUGCAUAUCCCAGUUAGACAGGCCACACUUCUGCCUCAGGGCCUUUGCACUUACUGAUCCCUCUGUCCGGAACUGUCUUUCUCCAUAUAUUUACAUAACUGUAUCCCAAACUUUCUUUAGGUCUUUGUUCAUAUGUCAGUUUCUCAGCGAGGCUUUUUUUGACUAAUAUAUGUGUUCAUUGUUUGUCUCCUUCUAGAAUAUUACUUCGUUGAGAAGAAGGGAUUUUGUCUUGUUCGUCUUGUGUUCACAGCGCUUAAAAUGAUGCCUGGCUUAUUCAAGGUGCAUUGUGUUUGUGGUUUGAAUGAGUGAAGUUGCCCCUUUCCAGCUCCCUGACUAGACAUGAAUUUAGAUCCGAGGGCAUUGUGGGACUUCUUGCUCCCAGUUCUGUUCUCAUUCACGUCACGUAAGAGGGCUAAAACGUUAGGAGAACAUCUUUAAAAUAUUAACCACAGCUGUGAGCCAUUGAAAGCAUUCUACACAGUGAGUUAGGAAAUGGCAGCUAAUUGUUGAUUUGUAAGGCAAAUGGGAGAAUAACCCAGCACCAUCCAGGUCCCCUGUGUGCCGGCACCUGGGGAAUAGGAGGGAGGAGCAGGGCCUCGGUCAGGAGUCGUCACACUUUCUUGCAUGGGCCCUUUGCUUGUGCCUUAUCCCACUCAGUCUCUCGUGUCCCCUCACUCCAAGGAUUAGGCUUUGGGUGUUUGUGUGCACGCGGGUGUGUAUGUACAUUUGUUUGCCAGUGCUGUCUCAUCAGGGGCUUCCUUUGGCCACAGUUUAUGUUUUCCUUUUUGUUUACAGUGUUUCUUAGUAACUCGCUGCCACAAGUCCUCUGCACAGAGUUGCUACCCAAACGUAUCUUGAACUUCGUGCUAUUUCUCUUCUAGUAUCUUAAGAUUUAUUGUGGCCAUGGAAGUCUAGGAAACCGUGAUGUUACAGAAGUGAAUGUAGACAGUGCCCAUAUGACUGUCAUCAUCGCAGGGGUAGGAGGACAUCUGGGGAGGACGGAACCCAAACGGGGAAGCCGUAUGGUCUACCUGACAGAAUGGUUCCUGUUUCGGUGAUGGAUGCAACAGCUUCUAACGGCCCAAAGCCAUCCUUCCUUCGAUAAAGUAUCUCUUGAAUGUCCAUGCUUGUGGACUGUGCUAAUGAAAUGAGCACAGGAUCCACCCGCGUGGAGCUUCUCAUACUCUAAUGAGAGGAAUAAACAAAAUCACGUCACUGUGUAAUUAUAAACUGUGAUAAAUGCUAUGAAGGAGAAAAUCACGGUGCUAUGGGAGCUUAAAAUAGGGGCAUUUGUCCCAGUCUUGGGGUCAGGUCACAUUCGAGCCCAGACUCGCAGGUUACUAGGCAUGUGUGUGCUUUGGCAAGGGGGGGGGGGGAGGGGCAGAAUAUUGUGCCUUAAUUUCCAGGCAGAGGAGAUGAGGUGUGCAAAAUCUCCGAGGUGUUGAGGGUUUUUAUGUAUUGGAGAGAUCGAAAGGAGACCAGCAUGGCUGAAGUGGCUGAGGAUGACGGGGACGGUGGUGCCGGAGGAGGCCGGGCAGGUCAGCCAGGGACAGGCGAGGCUUUGGGGUGCACUUUCGGGUCUUUAUCAUGAGCUCAGUGUACAGCCCUAAAGGGGUUUAAGUAAGGCUGAGCCAUGACCUAUUUUCUGUCUUUGAAGGUAUACUCUGUACACAGGGUGGAUCGUGGCCUGGAAAAGGGAGAGAGUGGAAGCUGGGCAAAUACCUGCAAGUAUCCUGCGUUUCUCCAGGAGAAGGAUGAUAGGGCGAGGAUGGUGGUGGCACAGGAGCUAGGAACACUUGUCUGGAGGGAGAAUGUUGGAGGCCAGCGGCAUCGAGAUUGUGAUUGCUCUCAUUUGCUCACUGAACAAUCUUCUGUUCGUUUGGCUUGAUCUUAACCUGCCUGUAAGGUGCCUAUACCUGGGAUUUCAGGAAAUACUUGUUGACUAAAGAAAUGUGAAUACGUUGGUCAAGCUGGACGGAGUAGGUGUCCAGAUUGUCUGGCAAUUAUGCUUUUCAUUGUAAAUGAAUAUAAAGGCAGUAUAGCUUUAUGUAUCAGUCUCUUCUGAGCUUUCUUAGCAUGAAUCAGUACUGAUAAACGUAAUCAUUUCUGGAACCUCACUGAGAUAGACUUUUGGAGCCAAGAAAUUUGAAAGACAGUCCUGAAUUGCCUGUCAGUCCUGAAUUCUCCGAGGUGAACGUCACCCUGUGGAGACUCUCUGAACAGCUACCUUUCCCUGGCAGUAUCGUCUGUUUUGAUCAAUGCUUUUCCAUUGUCCUUUUUAAAAAAUUUAAGUAAGCCCAAGAUAGUCAUAUCCACGAAUUGUUUCUGUCUUUAGAAUAGCAAUUAUUCCACCCAGUGUGGGAAGGUGCUGCCCACCUAUAAAAAAAGAACUAUAGAAUUUGAUUGUUUAAAAGGCAUAUUAAAUGUAGAAAGAUUCAGAGUCAAGGAGAACCUUGUUCUAAAUUGUUUCUCUGUGCACCUAACUUUUUAUUAUGGCACGUUGAUUUCCUAUGAAACUUAAAGUUUUUGUUUUUCAAAUCAUCUGUUAUCGAGGCAUCCGGUGAUACUUGUCUGAAUGGCUCUACCUAGGAACUCUGGGAAGUUGGGCAGCUGAAAUAAUUGUCUAAGGUUUAAUGAAGCCCUUUUGGAGCUCCUGAGUUCAGAAGAUGUCAAAGAAUGGUAUAAAACACGUGUGCACAUUUAUGGCUGACUGUAUUUUCCUCAUCUUUUGCAGGACAAAAAUGGAAGAAACAGAGGUACUUCUAGAUGGAGCAAAGUGAGCCACUGAACAGACAGGCAUUUAAGUACCAGAAAGUUAAUGGCACAGAAUACUGCUGACUGCGUGGUUCUCGUCUUAAUGCAUUUUCCAACCUUGAACCUGAGAAUACCAGAGGCUGGGGACUCUGGACACUCCUCUGCGCAGUUUUCUGCCGGUGGCCUGGUUCCUGAGGUAACAAGUGGGUGUCCCGGGCGUGUGUGUGUGUUAACAACAGCAGUGAUGCCACGUGGUGCCCAGAGGUCGCCGCGAUCUGUCCCGGGGGUUCCUGGUCCUCGGGGCUUCUGAGAUGAACUGUGAACUUGGGGCAUCCUGAGAAGUACAGGCGUUUUGGAGUGUGCCACAGCAAAUCUGGAUGUCGGCAUAAACACAGCUCUCAAAGUGAAAGCAGGGGCCUCGAGGAAGGAAUUACCCUCAUCUCACUCCCGACCUGCUUACUGUGCUGGAAAACAAAGAGAAACUGGAAGAAGACUAACCUUCUGGCAUUGCCUGCGAUGUGUCUCAUUCAGAACCCGGACAAGACCAGCCCGUGCUCCAGAAUCCUCUGUGCACUGCUCAGUGGGCUCUCCGGUCCAGAUUUGUGGUUCUGCAAAUGAAGCAGGUCGUGCUUGCCCUUUGCAUGGAAACUCUUUCUUUUGUCCUCUUCCUGGCCAACCACUACUGUUCCUUUCAGAUGAAUCCUCCUCCAGGCAGGCUUCCCUGACUGCCCAGGAUCAGGUCAGGUGCUCCUGGGUGCUUCCACAGCACCCUCUCCUACCUACCCCUGUGGGUACAUACCAUACUAGCCUCUAGCUUCCUGUUUCUUGUCCGUCUGCCCUGACUCGCGGUGGCACUGGGAGAACCAGGCUCGGUACUGUUGACUUUGGGGUACACACCCUGACACACAAGACCGUGCCUGACUCAUGGCAGACACCCAACGAGCCUGUGAAUGAGAGCGGUAGAAAUGACAUACUUGGUAACGGUGGGAACUAAUACGUGCGGUGUCUAAUAUUUGCAGAUCAUAAGGCGUUUUUGUACGUGUUCUGUUACCGAAUCCUCACAGCAAUUCUAGGAAGAUUUCUUGAUCCUCACUGUACUGACCUGGAAAUAUCUGCUAACACAGUUAGUCCUGUGGUCCCCUUAUGUGCUGGGGGAAUGUGUCCAAGACCCCCAGCGGAUGCCUGAAACUACGGAUAGGACCAGACCCUAUAAAUACUGGCUUUUUUCCCAUGCAUACAUACCUAGGAUAAAGUUUAAUUUAUAAAUGAGGCUUAAUUUGUAAUGUAUAUAAUUAGGUUUAACUUAUAAUUUAUAAAUUAGUGUAAGAGAUUAACAACCAUAACUAAUAAUAAGAUAGAACAGUUAUAACAUUAUACUCUUGUAAUAAAAGUUAAUAUAAAUGGGGUCUUUCUCUCACAGUAUCUUCUUGUACUGCACUCACCCUUCUUGGGAUUAUGUGAGAUGAUAAAAACGGAUCUGUGGUGAGAUGCAGUGAGGUGAAUGACACAGGCACCGUGACGUAACCUCAGGCAGUCAUUGACCUUGUGACGAUAAGUCAGAAGGAAGAUCAUCAGCUUCCAGACCAUGGGUGACCGUGGAAGACAGACCACAGGUAGCUGAAAGUGAAACCGUGGAUAAGGGGCAAAGGGGGACCACCGUAGUGGGAAAGCCAGGAUUUGAGCUUAGGUCUUCUGACCCCAGCUCUUGUGCUCUACUGUACUGUGUGAAUAUUCCGAGGCCGGUCUGUAACACGGGUGUUAGAAUCUGUAACAGAAGCAGCGGCAUUUCUGUCCUCACCAGCGAGACCCAGAGGGAGAAUUGACAGACUUUUCAUUUCUCUGCCUUUCCUCCUUGACAUCUUCCUACCUCCCAUGUUUCCAGUGGAAGCCUUACGCUGACAUGUGAUGGAUUCUUUCCAAGUUUCAAGGUGCUGACAGUGAAUCUUUUGUUUGUAUGCAGACCAGACUGGCUAUAGCCCUUCUUUCCUUGGGGUUUGAGCUUUUUGGAAAGGUGGAGAGCUUAGGAGUUCAGGUGGAGUCCCUGAGCACGUUGAUAUGUUAAGAUCGCGGUGUGUUGGGGAGAAAUCGGUGUGGUGCUGAGACCGUGAGUGAGAGGAUGCAGGUGGGGGGGCCGGUUGGGUUGUCGAGGAAGAGGCCGUAGAGAGGUUGCUGGCUGGCUGGGCUGUGCAAUUAAGCAGUUGAACAGGUCUCAGUAGCACGCUGGGGUGUCCUCCACAGGCCUGCAGGGGAGCAGAGUGGAAGCAAGCUGGCUGGCAGCAUCUUUGGACACACGGUGCUAGGUGUUAGGGGCUUAACCUGGAACGUCUCCACAAACAGGUACCCCAAGGAGCAGAGCAUAAUCGGAGGAGGGACAAAAGUGAGAUUGGGGGUAGCAGUUCCUGAGCUUUAAAAUUCACGAUUUAAUCUUCAACCCUGCUCCGUUCUGGGUGCUCCCAACACCGUUGCCGAGGGGGAGGAGUUUUUAAUUUCAUAGAGAAGUUAAUUUUUUGCCACCACAGUAGAACAUUAGACCCAAGUUCACAAAUCCUUCCAGCAGUCCCGUGUCCGUUACGAACUUCUCACUUUAUACCUGGUUGUUUGCAGUCGGAGGAUAUACCAGCAUUUAUUGUGGUUUUAUUGGAGGGCAGGGGAGACAGGAACACAUGGAGAUGGGGUUAGAGGUACCUCCUGUGGGACAUUCAGAGAUCAGAGCAACUCAGGGAGAGGAAGCUGGUGUCAUUGUUCAUUCACUCAGCAGAGAUUCCCUGAGCAUCUGCCGUGUGCCAGGCACUGGUCGGCACCGGGAUGAUGAUGAUGGUGGUGAUUAAAAAAACAGGCGUGAUCUCUGUCAUCAUGGAAGCUAAGGACGUGCGUGGGAAAGCAGUCCAGUUGCGGGGGAUGAACUCAGGCUUCGUGCUGUGAAGGAAAAGGUGCUGCAGGAUGAAAGGGGGACUUCCUUUGAGUGGUUCUCUGAGGAGGUAAUUUCUAAGGUGGGAGCCAGAGGUUGAGAAAAGAGUGGGUGGAGGAGUUGGGGGUGAAGCUUCCAAGCACAGAGAACAGCACAGUUAAAAGGCACUGGAGUGGAGACGAGAUUGGCCUUUGAGGAUUGAGAAGAAGGCAGAUGUGGCCCACGAUGAGGGUGGGAGAGGCGAGCAGGUGCAGCCCCUCCGAGGCCUUCGGUUUGGUGUGGCCCUGCUCUGAAAGGCGGCCAUCCUAGAAGUCUCCCGGGGUCUCUCGAUCACCCCUGUAAGUGUCCCCAGCCCAGGACAUCCCCAGGCUCCUAGAAAAGCCCUCAUCCCCAGGAGACUGCCUGCCACUUCCCUCUUCCUGCUCAUGCCCCUUGUGGAGGGGAAUAAACAAGGAGAUUUUACAGUGAACGCAGAUUUUCAUGAACUUGAAAGCAGGAGUCCUUUCAGGUGCUAAAAACCACGAGAGACAGGCCCAAGGGACUUUAAAAUGGCUCUGAAUGAAUAGAUGGGGUUGCUCUGUCGUGGUUCCCACACGCAGGUCUUGUGAGCUCAAACCGGUGGUGAGUACAGCAGGGCAGUAGGAGUAGAAAAGUACAGUCUUGGGGGGACGGGGGGGGGUGCCUGGGUGGCUCGGUUGGUUAAGCGUCCGACUUCGGCUCAGGUCAUGAUCUCGUGGUU